AUGAAUUCAUGCAUACCUGAGCCUCUCAUCUGGAUUUCUGGUUUCUGUCAUCGCAUUCGAAACACUUUCGGAGUAACUCCGACAGGUAGAUUGUUCUAUCAAUGUUUUCACCCUUGCUUCACUUUUUCAGAACUCUCUAAUCUUGAGGCUCAUUACAUUGGUCAGAGAGAAGAAAAGAGAAGAUCGAGAGUAAGAUUAAGCGGACGAAGAUGA